rnacentral:lncRNA from 1 species
AUGCAGUUACACAUGUAUGAAAACACUUUGCUUAAUAAAGAUGCAAGUUUACAGAAGAAGGAUGUAAGUAUAGAAGAGCUUAAGUCAACGAUCCUAGAAUAUGGAAGCAUUAUUGAGAACUUACGAGGGGAGAAAAACAAGCUGGCUCUAGAGUUACAGCACUUACAACAGGAAUUCAUGAUAAAUGGAAUGCAGUUAAAUGUCAGUGGAGAGCAUAAGAGUGUCGACUCUGAAGGAGUAAAAUCUCUACACUGUGAACUCAUUCUUGCUCAGUCUGCAGAGAAUAAUGACACUGAGUGGCAGUGCAAUUUAAUCAGCUUGUCAUCUCUGGACAUGAUAAUGGAUGAAGAAAUGCUACUGUUACUGAGAGAACUUGAACAAAAGGGAGUGGGGUUCACAGCUAUGCUUCAGAAUCUGGUAUUGUAUAACAUCUGCAUGUCGUAUGCUGUUUCACUGGCCAGGAAGAUCUACAGAUAACUGACCUACAGCCUGUUUGCUGAGCAUGGGCGUAUCUAUGUGUUGAGAACAAAAUAUAUCCUACUAUGAAAUGAAAAGAUUUUUCUCAAAUCUUCCUAAUGUGCAUCUUCUAAUUCUGGGUCAAUCAGGACUAACAGGCUGACCAUUAGGUAUAGAUUGCUUGAGUUUAUAUUCCCUACAAGUUAAUCUUUAGUAUCAGAGGGCUGAAGACUAUUGAACUCCUUCUAGCUAAUGACUAGUACUUCUUUUUCCAUUUUAAUUUUUGAAAAACAUUUCUUCAUUUAUUUUUGGGUGUUGGGUCUUAGUUGUAGCACACAGGAUCGUUUGUUGGGGCACACAGGCUUCUCUCUAGUUGUGGUAUGCGGGUUCCGGAGCACGUGGGCCAUGUUGUUGUGGCAAGAGGGCUCAAGCAUUGCGGUGCACGUGCUUUGUUACCUUGUAGCAUGUGGGAUCUUAGUUCCUUGACUAGGGAUUGAACCCCUGUCACCUGCAUUGGAAGAAAAGUUCUUAACCACUGGAUUACCAGGAAAGUCUCUCUCUAUCUCGAUUUUUGACUAGGAAUCCUAGAUGAUCAGAGAAAGCUGAGAACACCAUUUUCAUGUAGGUAUUUCCAGUUCCUUUCACAGUGUCUAGCACAUUGCUGUUGUUGUUUAGUCACUAAAUCAUGCCUGACCCAUGGCCUGCAGCAUGCCAGGCUUCCCCGUCCUUCACUGUUUCCCAGAGCU